rnacentral:lncRNA from 1 species
UAUUUUAUGUGAUCCUAUUGUUGUCUUCAAUGCUUCUUGUCUACAAACUUUGUUCUGGUUGUGGUUCAAACUCAAAAUUGAGGAUCCACAUUUAUUGUUCUCAAACUAGUUUUUUUUUCGUCAAAGGAAAUCCAUUAACAAACCAAAGGGAUAGAUGGAAAAACCAGCCACUAGCUCAAGAUCAACAAGCAAUACAAACCAGUGCCCAUUGAGGGGAACCCAAUGAAUCGCACUCAAUUAAAAUAAAAAUAGGUAGCUUCUUCUCCCACUCUCAUAUGUUUCAAAAGCCUUUAAAAUACACCUUUAGAUCGAUCAAUUCGGAGUUUUUUUUUUUCUUUCAAAAUACACCUUUAGAUUGAUCAAUUUGGAGAACAUUGAGAGGUGGAAGAAGAAACUCAUUAAAAGACGAAAAAAGAAGCACAAGAGGCCUUGGGAACAGAAUCACAAUUCUUAGGGUUUAAAGAGUUUUUUCUCCCUCCUACAUUCUCAAAAGUCUUUAAAAUACUUUUUUUUUUCCUUUCAAUUUUACCCCAUUUGGAUUGACUGUUCCGAACGAGAUUUAACUGGAUUGGCCAAUCUGGACACCUCUUUCUUAUACUUUGCAAACCCCUUCUUCGCCACCCACUACAUCUUUCUUUCCAUUCUUAACAAAAACAUCCCUAAAUCCCAAAAAUCGUCAAAUUCCCAAAAUUUUCUCCACUCUUAUAUUCUUCAAAAUCAUAACCAACACAUCACAUUUCACAAGUUUAGAAGUCUAAAUCAUAAGGUAAUAUUUCAUUUCUCAGUUUUUUUUUUUUUUUUUUUUUUUUUUUUUUUUUUUUUUUUAAUUUGGUUGUCUUCAGAUCAACUGAUCUAAACGUGUUUUUGGUUUGUUAUGUGGUGUCUGGGCCAGUUGAUCCAGAUGAGUUUUUGGUACCAUAUGUGGUGUUUGAAUCAGGUGAUCCAGAUGUGUUUUUGGCACCAUAUGUGGUGUUGGGAUCAACUAAUCCAAAGAGAGGGGAGUUGAAUUGUUUCUUAUAAUUUAUGUUGUUGUUUGAGUAAGUGAUACCCAUUAGAUUUGGUAGGGUCAUAACGCUUGUCUCAAUUUGCGAAGAACAACUUCGAAACGAGUGAAUGAUAUUGAGGAGAGUUCGCAAACACAAACCAAAGAUGUACAAGCUGAGAUGCCGCCACCAAAGCCACAUAUCUUAAAUGCUUCAUCUCAAACCCACUCCAACAAGUUGUCUCUAGAUUUAAAUUUCGUAUAAGUUGUGAAGUUUUGAGUAAUAUCGACCAAUGAUUUAGAAAUGUAAGAUUUCAAAUCAAAAGAGGAAUUGUCAUGUUUCAAAUCAAUAGAGGGAUCAUCCAUACUUGAAAUGGUACAAUGGUUAUUAGAAAGAAAGACAAUGUAGGAAAAACUUAGGUCGGAUUGACCAAUUCAAAUGUUUUUGUGCAGUAAACACGCAUUUUGGAUUGACCAACCCAAACGACUGCUUGAUGCAGUAAAAAAAACGUGUCCGGAUUGGCAAAUUUUUUGAGGGCUUUCGGGGAUAUAGGGAGGAGAUAAAAAGCUCUCGAGGACUUAUUGUUGGUGAUUUGAUGAAUGUUGAGUUGUUUGACUGUCCCGAAAUGCUACUUGAGUGUCUGAGACAAACCUAUCCUUUUACAUAGUUGGGUUAUUCUUUAAAGAAAUUGUUUGUUGGUGAUUCUUUGUUUUGAAGGCCACAUUUUCUGUUGGGUCUCUUCUUUAUUUCAAUUUACGCCCAUAUGUAACAUGUAGAUACUUAUUCUCGUUGUGUUUUUCAGCUUUUGUUGGGAGUUAUUUUGUACUUUGUAAUGCUGUCCAUACUCAAUAGAUGGUGAUAUGCUCUAUCUUAAUUUUCGGGUCUAUAUUGAAACCUAUACAAAUUCUUGAAUUUUUCUAUGACUUGUAUCUUGG